rnacentral:tRNA from 1 species
GAUACUACGCCGGAUGAACGGAAAUCAGUGAUAUUGAUUUUAUAAAAAUUAUUGAAAAUUUUUUAGUGUUU